GUCGAGGGGCAGCAUGGUCUUAGCUUGCUAAGGCCGAUGGCGACCGGCGCACGGGUGAGUAACACGUAUCCAACCUGCCGUCUACUCUUGGACAGCCUUCUGAAAGGAAGAUUAAUACAAGAUGGCAUCAUGAGUCCGCAUGUUCACAUGAUUAAAGGUAUUCCGGUAGACGAUGGGGAUGCGUUCCAUUAGAUAGUAGGCGGGGUAACGGCCCACCUAGUCUUCGAUGGAUAGGGGUUCUGAGAGGAAGGUCCCCCACAUUGGAACUGAGACACGGUCCAAACUCCUACGGGAGGCAGCAGUGAGGAAUAUUGGUCAAUGGGCGAGAGCCUGAACCAGCCAAGUAGCGUGAAGGAUGACUGCCCUAUGGGUUGUAAACUUCUUUUAUAAAGGAAUAAAGUCGGGUAUGGAUACCCGUUUGCAUGUACUUUAUGAAUAAGGAUCGGCUAACUCCGUGCCAGCAGCCGCGGUAAUACGGAGGAUCCGAGCGUUAUCCGGAUUUAUUGGGUUUAAAGGGAGCGUAGAUGGAUGUUUAAGUCAGUUGUGAAAGUUUGCGGCUCAACCGUAAAAUUGCAGUUGAUACUGGAUAUCUUGAGUGCAGUUGAGGCAGGCGGAAUUCGUGGUGUAGCGGUGAAAUGCUUAGAUAUCACGAAGAACUCCGAUUGCGAAGGCAGCCUGCUAAGCUGCAACUGACAUUGAGGCUCGAAAGUGUGGGUAUCAAACAGGAUUAGAUACCCUGGUAGUCCACACGGUAAACGAUGAAUACUCGCUGUUUGCGAUAUACUGCAAGCGGCCAAGCGAAAGCGUUAAGUAUUCCACCUGGGGAGUACGCCGGCAACGGUGAAACUCAAAGGAAUUGACGGGGGCCCGCACAAGCGGAGGAACAUGUGGUUUAAUUCGAUGAUACGCGAGGAACCUUACCCGGGCUUAAAUUGCAGAUGAAUUACGGUGAAAGCCGUAAGCCGCAAGGCAUCUGUGAAGGUGCUGCAUGGUUGU
rnacentral:rRNA from 1 species